CCUUGCUGCAUUUAAGUUUUAGUUUACAUUCUGCAAGUACUUUCUGGAGGCCAUCGAUGUAUAUGGAAACAAAAUCAUGGUACAUAACAAAGGGUUUUAUACUUUUUUCUCAGAAUAUUUUCCUGCACGUCGCCUCCACAAUAGAUAAUGUCCUUUGUAAAACUACUUAUAUAAGAUAUGCUUGCAGGUGGAUGUGUAUUUACUACCUCAGUCUGCUUUUCCAACUGGAGGUCUAUAUUUCAAGAAUAAAACAUGGGUCAAGGAGACAAAGGGCAAGCAUGUCCUUAUACAUAACAACUACAUAACAGGGUUUGAGAAAAAGAUUAAACGCUUCCGUGAUCAUAAACUAUGGCUGGUGGAUGAACACAGCGACGAGUCACCGCUUGGUAAAAUAUGAGCAAGCUGUAAAGGCUGGAGUACAUCUAUCCUAGCUGCAGCAUCACAAUUCUGUGGAUGGUGUCUGCCCAACCAGAUGUUGGAUGAUUUUCCACCCACCACAUGGAAUUCAACAGUCGAAUUUGAACACCAGACCCGCAUGCAGAAGACUCCAUUUUGUACAUCAAGGCCUUCAGCCUCAGGAGCUACGCUUUCUCAUGCAGUCCAGUCCAUCUUUCUGAAGCGCACUUUUGUAACUGGAAAUGGCUGGUCUAGGAAACCAGUAAGAUCUUAGGGCAUGAAUGAAGAGGUUUUGUGGCUAUGAAUAUCGUGCAAGUCCAUUGAUUAUUUCACUGUCUGUAUAGCAUUGUAAUUUUGUGAAUUUUACCAUUAUUACUGUCAAAAAACACAGCAUUUUUUGACACUAGAUCGCUUGUCAGUACAAUUGCUUCUCAUCUUUUCUAAAAUGCAUGCUCAUUCCAUUGUGGCCGUGCAAGUUUCCAUCAUUAACAUUCUUAUCUUUUCGAUACCGUCGCACGCCUAAGAAUCCAAUCUUUUCGUCGAAAAACCGCCUCCAAUUAUAGUAACAGAAUCCCAAGCUAGCGUCGGCGGGAGGGAGCUAGAAACAACUCCUGUUGUUGUACCCUUUCCUUUGAUGCCUCCCCCGCUUUGCUUUCCGCAGGAGCAACGCCGUUGCCUUGGCCUCACACAAGGAACACCGGCGACACGCACGCCCCCCACAUAUACUCCCUCCUAGCCCCCGUGCUUGCAUGUGCGCAAGAAACCUCCUUUCUUCUCACCACAGCAGGAAGGAAACCCACCCUCCUACGUCGACAGAGAUCAGAUCAAUGGGCCAGGCCGUCGCCAAGGCGAAGCAAGGUAUGAUCGUCGACGAACACUAGCUACCGGGCGGCGCGAUCUCGGGUCAUUCAUCUUUGCAAAUGCUUGCUGGUUUUGCUUCUGACAUGGCUUGAUGUUUGUGGUAGAGGCCGGGCGGGCGACGCAGAAGGCCGACAAGGACGGCAAGGCUGUGGCCAACCGUAAUGACGCCAAGGAGCAGCUCAUUGUGUUUAUGGAUAACCACUACGAUGAUAUAGUCAAGUCUGCGGAAACCUUCGAUCAAUUUUACCAUGCCAUUUUCGAACUCAUCGAGUAAGCCUUCUUCUCAAGAGUUAGAGAACCUUUGCUAUUGGGCCGGAUGAUUUUUUUUUUCAUAGUCCCUACAGCAUACAAAUUGGUAGAAUGAUUUUGUAGUUGAAUUAUUAUGGGAUACAUGCAGGAGUUGCCAUUUGAUUCCUAAGCCUUUUCGGAUUAAAAGUUCAUGCGUGCGUAUAAACAGGUACUACUCCCUUGGUGCAUACAAAAAAAAAA
rnacentral:lncRNA from 1 species